GACGAACGCUGGCGGCGUGCUUAACACAUGCAAGUCGAACGAAAAUACCAAGCUUGCUUGGUUGAUUAGUGGCGAACGGGUGAGUAACACGUGAGUAACCUGCCCCUUACUUUCCUGGAUAACUGCUCGAAAGGGUAGCUAAUACGGGAUAUUCUGACCGGCCUGCAUGGGUUGGUUUGGAAAGGUUGUUUUUCUGGUGAGGGAUGGGCUCGCGGCCUAUCAGCUUGUUGGUGGGGUGAUGGCCUACCAAGGCUUUGACGGGUAGCCGGCCUGAGAGGGUGGACGGUCACACUGGGACUGAGAUACGGCCCAGACUCCUACGGGAGGCAGCAGUGGGGAAUAUUGCACAAUGGGCGCAAGCCUGAUGCAGCGACGCCGCGUGAGGGAUGAAGGCCUUCGGGUUGUAAACCUCUUUCGUCAGGGAACAAGGCACUGCUUUUGGUGGUGUUGAGGGUACCUGGAUAAGAAGCGCCGGCUAACUACGUGCCAGCAGCCGCGGUAAUACGUAGGGCGCAAGCGUUGUCCGGAAUUAUUGGGCGUAAAGAGCUCGUAGGCGGCUGGUCGCGUCUGUCGUGAAAACUUCCGGCUCAACCGGGGGCUUGCGGUGGGUACGGGCCGGCUAGAGUGCGGUAGGGGUAACUGGAACUCCUGGUGUAGCGGUGGAAUGCGCAGAUAUCAGGAAGAACACCGAUGGCGAAAGGCAGGUUACUGGGCCGUUACUGACGCCGAGGAGCGAAAGCGUGGGGAGCGAACAGG
rnacentral:rRNA from 1 species